AAGGUCCGGCUAACUUCGUGCCAGCAGCCGCGGUAAUACGAAGGGACCUAGCGUAGUUCGGAAUUACUGGGCUUAAAGAGUUCGUAGGUGGUUGAAAAAGUUGGUGGUGAAAUCCCAGAGCUUAACUCUGGAACUGCCAUCAAAACUUUUCAGCUAGAGUAUGAUAGAGGAAAGCAGAAUUUCUAGUGUAGAGGUGAAAUUCGUAGAUAUUAGAAAGAAUACCAAUUGCGAAGGCAGCUUUCUGGAUCAUUACUGACACUGAGGAACGAAAGCAUGGGUAGCGAAGAGGAUUAGAUACCCUCGUAGUCCAUGCCGUAAACGAUGUGUGCUAGACGUUGGAAAUAUAUUUUUCAGUGUCGCAGCGAAAGCAUUAAGCACACCGCCUGGGGAGUACGACCGCAAGGUUAAAACUCAAAUGAAUUGACGGGGACCCGCACAAGCAGUGGAGCAUGUGGUUUAAUUCGAAGAUACGCGCAGAACCUUACCAACACUUGACAUGUUCGUCGCGAGACUAAGAGAUUAGUCUUUUCAGUUCGGCUGGACGAAACACAGGUGCUGCAUGGCUGUCGUCAGCUCGUGUCGUGAGAUGUUGGGUUAAGUCCCGCAACGAGCGCAACCCUCACUUUUAGUUGCCAUCAUUAAGUUGGGCACUCUGAAAGAACUGCCAGUGAUAAGCUGGAGGAAGGUGGGGAUGACGUCAAGUCCUCAUGGCCCUUAUGUGUUGGGCUACACACGUGCUACAAUGGUACUUACAAUGGGAAGCAAAGAUGCAAGUCCUAGCCAAUCCCUAAAAUGUACCUCAGUUCGGAUUGUACUCUGUAACUCGAGUGCAUGAAGCUGGAAUUGCUAGUAAUCGCGGAUCAGCGCGCCGCGGUGAAUACGUUCCCGGGUCUUGUACACACCGCCCGUCACACCAUGGAAGUUGGUUACACCUUAAGGCAAAGCUUAUACCUUUGACUACGGUACGAUCAGCAACUGGGGUGAAGUCGUAACAAGGUAGCCGUAGGGGAACCUGCGGCUG
rnacentral:rRNA from 1 species